rnacentral:lncRNA from 1 species
CAGAUGGGCACCUCACUCCUUGUUUAUUGUUUUCUGUGAGUAUUUUUCCCUCUCACUAAAAAUUUAAUGUUCUUUUUUUUAAGACAAAUUUUUUAGUUGCAGAUGGACACAAUACUUUUAUUUUAUUUUUAUAUGGUGCUGAGGAUUGAACCCAGUGCCUCACAACCCCAGCCCUAUUUAAUGUUCUAUAAAAUGUUUUUUUUUUUUUUUUUGGUACUGGAAAGAGCUUGGAAACAAGAAAAAUAAUUAAGGAAAAAUUAAAUACACCGUUUAAUUUUAAGACUUUAAGUUUUUUUUUUGGUGCUGAAAAUUACCAUCCCCCUCUUUUGGUACCAGGGAUUGAACCCAGGGGUGGCACCUAGCCACAUCCCUAGCUCUUUUUUAUAUUUUAUUAGAGAUAGAGUCUCACUGAGUUGCUUAGAGCCUUGCUAAGUUGCUGAGCCUGGCUUUGAAAUUGAGAUCCUCUUGCUUCAGCCUCUUGAGCCGCUGGGAUUACAGGCAUGUGCCAUUGUGCCCUGCUAAAAAACUCUUUCUGGAUCAAUUUAUUUGACUGUUUUUAUCAGGGACUUUCUUAACAUUCCAUUGUUUAAGCUAAUAAUCUGGGUGGUUUAUUCUCCAACCCAGCCCCUUAGUUCCUAUUGCCUACCCAACUGAGAACAUGCUCUUUUCCUUCAGCCUAACACUGCACAUUCUCUCCCCGUGUCGGAAGGGCCGCCAGAGCCCCAGCUUGCUGGUUCUGUGGAGCAGUUCUGAAAAGUCCUACUUCUCAUCGUGGGUCUCUCUGAAGUCCAUUUUCCUAGUUGUGUCUUUGGUACUGACCACUCAGAAUCCACAUCACAGAGACAGUCUGGCUGUCUCUCUGUAGUCAAGUCCUCAAAGGGGUGGCUUAUGAUCGUCACGUGCUUAAGGGCUAACCUUGGGUUUGGAGGACAUGAAACUUAAUUUUGUGCGCUCACCAGAACAGUUCCAACAGCACUGUACUAAUGAACUCCUAAGGGAAUGACAGUGAGCCUGCAUGUGAGAGAUGUCUUCCCAGGGACCGGUGUCCCAUGUUCCUGCCCCAGUGCUGUUUGCCAGGGAUGCAGUCAGGACAGAGGGAGCUGGUCCCUCUGACAGCCUCAGGACCACACCUUCCCCAUGUCACUGUUCAGUCCUCAGAACACUCUCUGGCUUAGAGUUGUACUCCACGCAGAGUACCCGCUCUUGGUUACCAAAACUCCUUCAAGUUCAAAUACAAGUUCAGAUACAAUUACUUGACAGCCUUCCUUUAGGUUCAUUUUGUAUUUAACUAUAUGAAAUCGCCCUAUUUGUGGGUCAAAAGCUUUCAAUAUUGAGAACUUCACAUAGCUCAGCAUAAUAGUCUUUUAAAAAGCUCUUUUAAUUUUCAAUUACAGAUAGGCAAGCAAGAAGUUGCAAAAAUAGAAUAGAAAGUUCCCAUGAACUCAUUACCCAGCUGCUCCCAAUAGUGACAUCUUAUCUAAUAGGCUUCAUUAUUGAAAUUGGGGUGUCAAUGUUGGUGCCAAUUUACUGAUUCCCACAGGCUUAUCUGGGAUUUUACCAAAUGAAUAAUGCCCUACAUCCUGCUUACUUCCACCAGACACAAUUAACA